AUGAUCAUAUCAUACACACAUAUACAAAUAAACCCAUGAUUAUUCAGGAUGCGAUAUGAUGGGCCCGAUCAAUAAUCUCUGCAUCGCCAUCCGAUCAUGGCUUGGCCAUCGGCACCUCGGGGUAAUGGCUCUCAGGCUUCGGCGGCUGUUCAUGCUCCGGCACCUCGGGGUGGUGCGGCUCUUCAGGCUUCGGCAGCUCCGGCACGACGGGGUGCGGCGGCUCCUCGUGCUUGGGCAGCUCCGGCACGACAGGGUGCGGCGGCUCUUCGUGCUUAGGCAGCUCCGGCACGGCGGGGUGUGGCGGCAGCUCAGGUUUGGGCAACUCCGGCACGGCGGCGUGUGGCACCUCCGGCUUUGGCAGCUCCGGCACGACGGGGUGUGGCGGCUCCUCGUGCUUGGGAAGCUCCGGCACGGCUGGGUGCGGUAUCUCCGGCACAGCUGGGUGUGGCAGCUCCGGCACGGCAGGGUGUGGUGGCUCCUCGUGCUUGGGAAACUCCGGCACGACGGCAGGGUGCGGCGGCUCUUCGUGCUUGGGCAACUCCGGCACGACGGCGGGGUGUGGUGGCUCUUCGUGCUUUGGCAACUCCGGCACGACGGGGUGUGGCGGCAGCUCAGGUUUGGGAAGCUCCGGUACGACGGGGUGAGGCGGCUCUUCGUGCUUGGGCAACUCCGGCACGACGGGGUGCGGCGGCUCCUCAUGCUUGGGCAGCUCCGGCACGGCGGGGUGCGGCGGCACCUCCGGCUUGGGUAACUCCGGCACGG
rnacentral:lncRNA from 1 species